GUCGUUGUUCGGCGUACUCGUUCUUGUUAACAAAAAUGAUUUCACUUUUAUUCUUUGUGUUUAUCGCUCUACAUAGUGUUAGUGCAUUAUCGAUUUGUAACGUGUGUUUAUGUCGAACGAAUAGAGUUGAAAAUGUGCUGCAACAAUAUAUAGACUGCUCAAGAAGGGAUAUUUCUAUGUCGAACCUCACUUUACCUAGUGACGGUUAUUCUCUAGAUUUAUCUUCAAACAAAUUUGAUCGACUGCAGAAUUCGAGUUUAUUCAAGUCCACGACAAUAAUCGAGUUGUUUUUGAACGAUAAUAAUUUGAAAGAAAUUAGUGCAAACGUUUUAGAUUUUCCCGAACUUAGAAUAUUGGAUUUGAGUUUUAAUAAAUUGGAAACAAUUCACGAGAGCACUUUUACAAAUUUGAAAAAGUUACAAUUCCUGAACCUAGCCAGCAACAAAUUCACGUCAUUUGAGAAGCUAGCAUUUCAUCAUUUAAGUAACUUGAAAGAAAUUAUUCUGGACAACAAUGAUAUUGGACAGAGUCUCAGAAAAGUUAAUCUCUUUGACAUAAACGGUUUCGGGCUGACAAAGAACAUUCGAAAUAUAAGCAUGUACAGCGUUAACUUGAACGAAGUUCCUGAUAAUUUCUUCAUAGAGGCUUACGAUAUACGAAAAUUAGUAAUAUCGAAUAACAAUUUGAGUGACGUAUUCGAGUUUCCGUAUACUUUGGAAUAUCUAGACUUGUCAGAUAAUCCGAUAAAAACAAUUUCCACGGAAGACUUUAAUAACAUCCCAGCGUUAAGAGUGUUAAAAUUGAACAAUUUACAAAUCGAAGAAGUCCCUUGUUACGUAUUUGAACCGCUACAUGGAUUGAAAGAACUAGAAAUUGAAAGGAAUAAAUACCUUACUAACUUUAGUAGACUCGCAUUUGGAGAUGAAGCAUUAAAUGAUCCUGACAAUUUCCUAUUGGAACAGCUGUCUCUUAAAAAUUCGAGAUUGACUACGUUGGAUGAAGAUCUUUUGGAACCCUUUGGGCGGUUGAUAAAGCUGGAUUUACAAGGCAAUCCCUGGAAAUGUGACUGCAAAAUUGCUUGGUUCAAACGGCUACAGAUUGACCCUAAAGAUUAUGAGCACUUGAGAUGCGGAUCACCAAAACCGACGUACAACUCUAAAAUCUUCGAUUUGAAACCCCGGUACUUCACGUGCCCCAAGCAGGAUAGACACUUCAUCGGUGUCACGAUCGCCGGUGUCGCCUUCUGCAUAAUAUUAGCUUUAAUCGCUCUAUGGUUCUUUGUGUUUGUGCCUAGAUAUCAGUCUAGAAGUAACUUCACUCAGAGCAUGUAUGCCCCUAGUGCUGCCUACACUGUUUUACCAAUGGCUAGUCAUUUUAGAGAAUAAAACACCCCAUAAUAAUGAUAUUAGUGUUUUCAAUGUUGUCAGUUGGUUACAUUUCUUUGUUAACUUUUGAUACUCUCGCGUAAUAUGUAAGUAACUCAGAAUGAAACAAACAACAUUUAAUCAACCAAUACUUUAGAUAAAUCUACUUUAUUUUUAUGAUUUAGACACAUCAUAUACCUUUGAUUAAAAAACAAAAAUAUAAUUUGCAAUAAACAACGUAUCUUUUGGCUUAGGGUUAAUUUUAAUUUAAACGAAUUUAAACGAAAAAUCAUUUGACUUUCUAGAUUAGAGGUCCAUCUCAAAUACAUCUCAUUCUUAUUGAAUCUGCAAAAUUCGAAUGUUUAUAAACCUAAGGUUCAGUUUUCCUGUAAAUAAAUUCGGCUUCAUUAAACAUUUUAAAUACCGGGAUGCUAGAAUGGCGUCGUAACUUGUGACGAAUUUAAAAUACAUCUUUGAAUAACUCGAAAUUUA